AUUGAACGCUGGCGGCAGGCCUAACACAUGGAAGUCGGGCGGAUGAAGGGAGCUUGCUCCUGGAUUCAGCGGCGGACGGGUGAGUAAUGCCUAGGAAUCUGCCUGGUAGUGGGGGAUAACGUCCGGAAACGGGCGCUAAUACCGCAUACGUCCUGAGGGAGAAAGUGGGGGAUCUUCGGACCUCACGCUAUCAGAUGAGCCUAGGUCGGAUUAGCUAGUUGGUGGGGUAAAGGCCUACCAAGGCGACGAUCCGUAACUGGUCUGAGAGGAUGAUCAGUCACACUGGAACUGAGACACGGUCCAGACUCCUACGGGAGGCAGCAGUGGGGAAUAUUGGACAAUGGGCGAAAGCCUGAUCCAGCCAUGCCGCGUGUGUGAAGAAGGUCUUCGGAUUGUAAAGCACUUUAAGUUGGGAGGAAGGGCAGUAAGUUAAUACCUUGCUGUUUUGACGUUACCAACAGAAUAAGCACCGGCUAACUUCGU
rnacentral:rRNA from 1 species